CCUCAAAUCAAAUACACAGAAGAGUACUGAGCCUUCUUUUCUGUAGCCAACAUUAAACUUGGGUGACCAGGGAGUUCUCAUGGAAAGAUUCUGGUCCUCUUGCCACUUGCCCAGCUAUUGAAAGGGACAGCACAGAAGUAAGAGAAGAUUUUAUUUGAAGUAACCCAGUUCUACCACAAAGACCUCAAAUCAAAUACACAGAAGAGUACAUUCUUUUUGUUGAAGCAACAUUCAGAGGGGACGACUAUCCUGCACCGCAGCCUCUGCGUCCUUCUCCUUCCCAACCCUAGGAGCGGACGUCCAGCAGUGGUCUUCUCAUACGUUUCCUACCCAGGCCCAGGAACGGAGUGGCGUCUGUGAUCUCCUUUGCAUGGAGGGUCAGACGAGAAGGACUCUGUCAACCAGAGUGCACAGGGGCAAGCACUAGUCACCCAGCCAAAGUCUAUAUGUGAAGGAAUUCUGCAAGGAAGGGUGACCCUCAGAAACUAUUUUCACUGCACUGUAUCUGACCAUGGUGUGGUGGAGGGUGACAGGGCUCAGAAUUCUGGCCCUGCAUGAGCAAAGACUACUCAACAUUUUACAUCUUUACACACGUGCUAUCUGUAAAGGUCAAAUUCCACAGCAACCCUUCCCCAGACACCACUUGCUAGAUAUAUAUAUAUAUAUCUAUAUAUAUAUAUAUACACACACACACAUAUUUUAUAUCACCUACUAGAGUAAUAAUUCUAAUUUCACCCAGGUGGUGGAUGGGAGAGGCGGUGCUAGGACCUUUUACUUGUUGGGAAAAUAAGAAUACUCAGCCAGACAGCUAUGUAGUUUCUCAUUUGGGUCAAAUGAAAGCAUAUGAGUUCAUUUCAUAAAGGUGGAAACACUAAACCAGUGAGCUCAAUCAUAUAGCCCAUACAUGCUUGGUUUGGUUAGGACUAUUUUUUGUUGUUGUUGUUCAAGGUAGGGUCUCACUCUAGCCCAGGCUGACCUGGAAUUUACUCUGUAGUCUCAGGGUGGCCUUGAACUCAUGGCGAUCCUCCUUCCUCUGCCUCCCGAGUGCUGGGAUUAAAGGCGUGCGCCACCACGCCCGGCAGGACUGUUUUAAAUUUAGUGCCCUCAGGUGAAUGAUAGUCUUCAACAAGUCAACAUUUGUCAGGCCUCCCUCAUUAAUUUACAUAGGAUGCUGGGUCCUGAUGAUUUUUGAGUUGAUAAUCUUGCUUAAGCAAAUAUAAACAUUACUAUUAUCUGUGCUUUAAAAAAACUCUAUUAUUAUGGGCCGGAGAGAUGGCUUAGCACUUAGGAUGCUUGCCUGUGAAG